rnacentral:rRNA from 1 species
UACGGAGGUGGCAAGCGUUGCUCGGAAUCACUGGGCGUAAAGGGCGCGUAGGCGGGGAGGUAAGUCGGGUGUGAAAGCCCUCGGCUCAACUGAGGAAGUGCAUCCGAAACUGGCAGGCUAGAGUACUAAAGAGGGUCGCGGAAUUCCCGGUGUAGAGGUGAAAUUCGUAGAUAUCGGGAGGAACACCGGUGGCGAAGGCGGCGACCUGGGUAGAUACUGACGCUGAGGUGCGAAAGCGUGGGGAGCAAACAGG